rnacentral:lncRNA from 1 species
AAUGGUUUGGGCUGGAUCAGAGAAGUUGAAGAGGGGAUGGUGAGAAUCCAGGUUCUGAAGUUUUCAACCAAUACUCUUUCCACAACACCAGAAAAUCUGAAGAAAUUUGGAGAAGGAGGAAAAGUCUUACAGUUUCUCAGCAUGGUUCCUCUCCACAUCAUCCUACUGCUUCCAUAGUGAGGUAUGGAAAGUAGACCCGUGGGAGAUGAAGAGCUCCAGAUUGAUCCAGUCUCCAGGUCCUGGUGGUGGCUCCAGUGUUCUUACGAGGAGGAAAAAAGGGAGGUGGAAACUGUGUGGUGGAUGGUGGUAUGAAGCCCUCAGCAUGGAAAGCUGUAUAUGGCAGGGAUGGAGGGCUGGCCUGGAGUGGCUGACCACAUUUAUUAUUAAACAAUAUUUGCAUGGCAAAACAGUUAGAAAUAUUGUUACCUCCAUUAAAAAUGAUAGUAAUAAUAAUAACACAAACUGUCAUUUGUUAGGUGCUUACUAAAUGCCAGGUGCUUUACACGUAUUAUUCCAUUUAACAGUUACAACAGCCUUAUUCAAGUAGAUGUCAUUAACAUGCUAUUACCCCAUUUGACAGAUAAGAAAACUGAGGCUUUUGAAUAUAUCUUAGGGUGCCUCCAGCAGUUCAAAAUAAUCAAACUCAAACCAGCUUAAACAAUAAUGAAAUGCAUUUUUGUACAAAAUAGAAUGCCCAGCAGUAGGCAAGCCUUCAAGAUUGAUGGAUUUACUGGCCCAAUAGUGCCAUCAGGGAAUCAGGUUCUCUCUGAUGUGCCAUUUAUCAAUUCAGCUGUGGCUGGUUCUCCCCAUGGACAUAAGGUGGCUGCCACCAGAAACUGGGCUGCCAUUCUUAUUUACUUAUAUUUGACAUGCAUGGGAGAGAACCUUCUCCCCAGUGC